rnacentral:rRNA from 1 species
UGGGGAAUAUUGCACAAUGGGCGCAAGCCUGAUGCAGCCAUGCCGCGUGUGUGAAGAAGGCCUUCGGGUUGUAAAGCACUUUCAGCGGGGAGGAAGGCGUUAAGGUUAAUAACCUUGGCGAUUGACGUUACCCGCAGAAGAAGCACCGGCUAACUCCGUGCCAGCAGCCGCGGUAAUACGGAGGGUGCAAGCGUUAAUCGGAAUUACUGGGCGUAAAGCGCACGCAGGCGGUCUGUCAAGUCGGAUGUGAAAUCCCCGGGCUCAACCUGGGAACUGCAUUCGAAACUGGCAGGCUAGAGUCUUGUAGAGGGGGGUAGAAUUCCAGGUGUAGCGGUGAAAUGCGUAGAGAUCUGAAGGAAUACCGGUGGCGAAGGCGGCCCCCUGGACAAAGACUGCCGUUCAGGUGCGAAGCGUGGGGAGCAAACAGG